UCCUUCCAUUCUAUCUUUGGUCGACUCUGCAAGAAGAAAAAGAACAGAAAAAUUGUUGUGUGUUAUUUAACUUUUGAAAGAAGGAGAAAGAAAAAGGAGAGAUGAGAAAAGACAAGAAAAUACGAAGAAACAACCAGUCUUUCCUAAUCAUCACACGAAUUCGUAAAUCGAUGGAGACCAUCGACGUGUCUUAGGAGUGUGUAUUUUUCUUUCUUCCUUUUUUUCUUUCAUUUUUUUUUUUUCUUUUUUUCUUUUUCUUCGCCAAAGAAACAGCAGGACGAGCCAUAGCGAUGACGAAUCAGCUGAGCGAACACGAACACGUCGACCUUUAUCUUCAUUUCGAUCUUGAAUACGUACAUAUAUAAAAGUUAUCGUAGCAAGUCCCGUGACGUCGAUACAUGAGGAACACGUGCUGUGCUGCUUCGACUACAUAACGUAAUCGAGGUUAUUCCACUGGAGAAAAUUUCAAUCGUAAUAAAUCGACGAUCUCGUAAAAAGGAUCAAGAAGAAUUAUCGAAGUGAUAGAGUUGUGUUGCAUAUACGUAUAUACAUGUAUGUA